GAUGGUUUGGCCGAGUGGUCUAAGGCGCCAGAUUUAGGCUCUGGUCUGAAAGGGCGUGGGUUCAAAUCCCACAGCCGUCA
rnacentral:tRNA from 1 species